GGUCCAGGAUGAAACCUAAUCUG
rnacentral:piRNA from 1 species